UACGAGGCGGCCCUGGUAUCCUCUCGGCUUGAAGUGCAGUUGAAUCAUACGGUAUCUUGAUUUAACGUCUCACCCGAAAGAUGGUACCGCGGGGAGUGCAGCACUCCGUCAGACAUACAGAUUCAAAACCCCGUUCUACUGAAAACUGAUGCAAUUUUCCUGAAUGGAAUUGAAGCAGUUACAGAUGUUUUAACUGUAAAGCAACAAGAAACUAUUCUGACAAUACGAAAGUGAAAAGCUGCUGAAGGAUGACAUCUGAAAAUAUUCUUCAAAAGGACUGGUAUGAAAUUCUUGGUGCAAGUCCGACACACAGUAUGCAGGAGCUCAGACAAAAUUAUCAGAAACUAGCCCUAUUGGUGAGUUUUUUUUGUGGAGCAGGAA